rnacentral:rRNA from 1 species
CCCCCAAAACAAAAAAUGUGGACGGGGUUACCCAAAGUGUUCUCUUUAGGACUGUGGUAAGUGAGUAAUGUUCCCUUCUAGAAAGGAGAGGGCAAGGGUGGUGCCAGCCGCCGCGGUAAAACCAGCUCUUCAAGUGGUCGGGAUAAUUAUUGGGCUUAAAGUGUCCGUAGCCGGUUUGGAAAGUUCCUGGUAAAAUCGGGUAGCUUAACUAUCCGCAUGCUAGGAAUACUAUCAUUCUAGAGGGCGGGAAAGGUCUGAGGUACUACAGGGGUAGGGGUGAAAUCUUAUAAUCCUUGUAGGACCACCAGUGGCGAAGGCGUCAGACUGGAACGCGCCUGACGGUGAGGGACGAAAGCCAGGGGAGCGAACCGGAUUAGAUACCCGGGUAGUCCUGGCCGUAAAC